GAUGAAGAACGUAGCGAAACGCGAUACGUAAUGUGAAUUGCAGAAUUCAGUGAAUCAUCGAAUCUUUGAACGCACAUUGCGCCCCUUGGUAUCCCGAGGGGCAUGCCUGUUCGAGCGUCAUUUCACCACUCAAGCCUGGCUUGGUGUUGGGCGACGUCCUCUUUGGGGACGCGCCUCGAAACGCUCGGCGGCGUGGCACCGGCUUUAAGCGUAGCAGAAUCUUUCGCUUUGGAAGUCGGGGCCCCGUCUGCCGGAAGACCUGCUCGCAAGGUUGACCUCGGAUCAGGCAGGGAUACCCGCUGAACUUAAGCAUAUCAAUAAGCGGAGGA
rnacentral:misc_RNA from 1 species